AGCGCGUGUGCGGGGCAGGCUGGCGCGGAGCUGGUCGGAGGCGCGGGUGGGGGGGGGGCGGCUACACUGGCGCGGCGCUGCUUUUCUGGAAGGGGAUUGCCGAGGGCCGAGGUGGCUGGAGGAUCCCCACGGAAGUCUGUGGCUUGCAAGAGCCCCUCACCCCCGCCUGGGUGGCCAAGAUUGUCAUUGGGGCCACCCCAGCGUGAGCGUGCACACGUAUUCCUUCCCCCCGCCCCCUGCACACACAACGCGUUGCAAUUUCCAAAAACUGAUCAGACUAAAAUGAAGAUGCUUUCCUCAUUCAACAUUCAUCUGAGACUGGCCUGUAACAAUUAGGCCUCAAUCAUAUGACAAGAUGGGUUACAAAGGCGUGUACACCAAUCACAUGACUCAUUACUACUACUAGAGAGCCAGUGUGGACUAGUGGUUGGAGAGCUGGACUGGGACCAGGGAGACCCGAGUUCAAAUCCCCAUUCAGCCAUGUAACUCACUGGGUGACUCUGGGCCAGUCAUUUUUCUCUCAGCCUAACCUACCUUACAGAGUUGUGAGGACAAGCCCAAUCUUGUAUACCACUCUAGGCUCCUCAGAGGAAGUGUGGGAUAUAAAUAAAUAAUAAAUACUGCAACACAUAUGUUUCAAUGAAACAAAAAUAUUCAAUAGUCUGGGUUUCCCUGGCAUGGUUCCCAGCCCCUAAAUUGCCUUUCUAACUUUAAAUUAGUGUUAAUGACGUUAAGGCAGAGCACUAUUUGAGCCAGACCUCAGUUUCAUUACUGACUUCUGGAACAUGAGAUUAAAUAGAAGUGCCUCUGAGUAUGGACUGAGUGCAUCUCCCUCACCAUAGUAGAACCAGAAUCAAUUGACAAAUAUACAUGGGUAUAGGGGGAAAAAAGUGAACAGUAAGGCCAAAAAGUCAUGAAAUGCAAAGGGUACAGUCUGUAACAUUUCUGUGCAAAGCACAGAAAUGUAUACAAGAUAAGCACAGUGACCAUUUAGAGCAGCAGUAAUUGAUGAUAACACAAUCUUCCCCUAUUGAGCCCUAAAUGAAUAGAAUCAAACUUGCUGAUAAAUUCUAGUUCAGCAGUUUCCCACUGGAGUUUGCCUUUGAAGGUGCUUUCUAAAAAAAAUCUGAAUUAUGGUGACUUUCAGGUCCGCAAGAGUAUAUAUUGGGAGACUGAAAUGUUCUCGUGCUGGUUUCUGAAUGGUGCCCAUUUUUUAAUGUCAGAUUUGUGCCCAUUUAUUUAAGGGGUAGAAUCUAUUUUAUUGUACCCCUGCUAACUGUGCAAAGAGGCACCUUUUUAACGUGGUGAUUCUCUUUAUUUAGCAGGGGGAGAGUAACUGGCCCUAUCCACCCCCCGCACAGUACCUCCAGUGACUGUUGCUGGUGUCUAUGUUACAUUUCGCAGCUUGGGAGUAUUACUGGACCCGGCUCUGCUUUUGGAAGCUCAGGUGGAGGCGGUGGCCAGGGGUGCCUUUGCACGGCUUUGGCUAGUGCUCCAGCUGUGCCCCUUUCUCGAGAAGGCAGAUCUGGCCACAGUUACCCAUGCCUUAGUCACGUCAUGGCUGGAUUACUUUAAUGCGCUCUGCGUGGGGCUGCCCUUGAAGAAUAUCCGGAAACUGCAGCUAGUGCAAAAUACGGCAGCUAGGGUUUUAUCUGGAGCUGCCCAUUCGGAUCACAUCACACCCAUUUUGAAAGAGGUGCACUGGCUACCAGUUUGUUUCCGGGUCUAAUUCAAGGUGCUGGUUUUGACCUUUAAAGCCCUUAGCAGUUUGGGCCCAGGAUACCUGAGGGACCACUGCUCCCAAGGGUUUCUGCCCGCUUGACAAGGUCAUCUGAGGGGGCUCUGCUCCAGGUGCUGACAAUGAGGGAGGCUCGGUUGUCAUGCAUGCGGAACAGGGCCUUCUCUGUUGCUGCCCCCAGACUCUGGAAUGCUCUCCCGGUGGCUCUUUGCUCCUCGGUCUCCAUCACAGCUUUUAGAAAGCAUGUUAAAUCCUGGCUUUUUACCUAGGCUUUUAUAUGAUUGUCUCUUCUGUUGCUCUUUGUAUUUUGUACUGUUUUUAUGCUUGUGUUUUAAAUUUUUAAUCAGAUUUGUUUUAUGUUUUUAGCUUAAUAUUUUAAUUGGUGUUUUUUUUAAAAAAAACAAUCUUGUUUUUAAAUUCUGCUGUAAACCGCCUUGGGAUUAUUUUAAUGAAAUGCGGUAUAUAAAUGUAACAAACAAACAAAUAAAUAAGAUUUCUUUUAGAUUGUGAGCCCUUUGGGGACAGAGAUCCAUCUUAUUUAUUUAUUAUUUCUCUAUGUAAACCACUUUGGAAACUUUUGUUGAAAUGGGCUAUAUAAAUAUUUGUUGUUGUUGUUGUUGAA